UACGGGGGGUGCGAGCGUUGUCCGGAAUCACUGGGCGUAAAGCGCAUGUAGGUGGUUUGGCAAGUUGGAUGUGAAAGCCCUGGGCUUAACCUGGGAACUGCAUUCAAAACUAUCAAGCUAGAGUAGAGUAGAGGGAAGUGGAAUUUCCGGUGUAGCGGUGAAAUGCGUAGAUAUCGGAAGGAACACCAGUGGCGAAGGCGACUUCCUGGACUCAUACUGACACUGAGGUGCGAAAGCGUGGGGAGCAAACAGG
rnacentral:rRNA from 1 species